rnacentral:rRNA from 1 species
CCUACGGGAGGCAGCAGUAGGGAAUCUUCCACAAUGGGCGAAAGCCUGAUGGAGCAACGCCGCGUGGGUGAAGAAGGUCUUCGGAUCGUAAAACCCUGUUGUUAGAGAAGAAAGUGCGUGAGAGUAACUGUUCACGUUUCGACGGUAUCUAACCAGAAAGCCACGGCUAACUACGUGCCAGCAGCCGCGGUAAUACGUAGGUGGCAAGUGUUAUCCGGAUUUAUUGGGCGUAAAGGGAACGCAGGCGGUCUUUUAAUUCUGAUGUGAAAGCCUUCGGCUUAACCGGAGUAGUGCAUUGGAAACUGGGAGACUGGAGGGCAGAAGAGGAGAGUGGAACUCCAUGUGUAGCGGGGAAAUGCGUAGAUAUAUGGAAGAACACCAGUGGCGAAAGCGGCUCUCUGGUCUGUAACUGACGCUGAGGUUCGAAAGCGUGGGUAGCAAACAGGAUUAGAUACCCGGGUAGUC